rnacentral:rRNA from 1 species
CCUACGGGUGGCAGCAGUAGGGAAUCUUCCGCAAUGGACGAAAGUCUGACGGAGCGACGCCGCGUGAGCGAAGAAGGUCUUCGGAUCGUAAAGCUCUGUUGUUAGGGAAGAAGAAGUACCGUUCGAAUAGGGCGGUACGGUGACGGUACCUAACGAGAAAGCCCCGGCUAACUACGUGCCAGCAGCCGCGGUAAUACGUAGGGGGCGAGCGUUGUCCGGAAUUAUUGGGCGUAAAGCGCGCGCAGGCGGUCCCUUAAGUCUGAUGUGAAAGCCCACGGCUCAACCGUGGAGGGUCAUUGGAAACUGGGGGACUUGAGUGCAGAAGAGGAGAGCGGAAUUCCACGUGUAGCGGUGAAAUGCGUAGAGAUGUGGAGGAACACCAGUGGCGAAGGCGGCUCUCUGGUCUGUAACUGACGCUGAGGCGCGAAAGCGUGGGGAGCAAACAGGAUUAGAUACCCGGGUAGUC